AGUGAAGAAUCUGAAGAUGACAAGAUGUACAUGACCUGCUCUUCUGCACUACUAGAUUCAUUUGCCCUUUGCAGCUGAGAUCUUUACUAACUCCAGUCAUUCCUGAAUUCUCUACAGUGAUGGUCAACAGGCUCUGACCUCUUCUCAUUUUCAAAGUGCCUUCAAAUGACUUCGUGGAGCAUCUUGGUUUAGUUUAGGCUCUGGCACCUGCUGCACCACCUCCUGAGAAAUGACUGUGUGUGUUGUAACUUACAGGAUUCCUUUCAGCUCUCAUCAAACUGGGCCUUGGUCAGCUAGUGAGGUGAUAAUAUUGUCUCUGUGAAAUAUGCUAUAGUUUUAGACUGAUAAGUAUAUCAUACUGCUGUUAUUUGAAAGCACAUAUUAAACUUUGAUUAUACAUUUAUAGGUAUUAAAGGAAAAUAUGAAAGUGUAUUCUUUGGAGAAAAUUGCUACUACCAGGUACCUUUCAUUGUAAAGUGAGCUGAUUUUCUUCUUAUGGCAAUAUGAGCUCAUCAGUUUAUGUUCACCACUGUUUUGAAUCCAGGGCUCCUUUGUGUUUAAUAUCCAGAAGAAUCCCCAUUGUGUUUUGUGUUUAGGGCAACAGGAACCCGGUACCUUGACAAAAGGUUAUUGAUCAGAAUUGUCCCAUGGUCAUCCUUAGCUGAAAGUGAGCCUGGAUCAUCAAGGCUUUCAGUGGCACACACAUCUUCCUGAAAUGUAUCCUUUUGUCUCAUCCAUCACAACUUCCCAGGGCUCUUUUCCUUUCUCCAAAGAGGAAACUACAUCUGGCAGAAGAUGAAAAGCCCAGUGAGAUCAUGCUGUAGUCCUCUAAAAUCACAUCUAUGCACAAAUCAUUCUGUGCAGGAUCCAGGCAUUCUACUGUUCCUGAGAGGAGUCUAUAGUAACACCCCUCAGUAUUACCAGCCGCUGGUUAUGGAUUUUACUUUGCUAGACCUGAUCUUUGUUUUUCUGGGUUCUUUUUUUUUGGCGGAGGGCCGGGGGUAUACAGAGACUUUUCACUGCUCUGUCUUAAGGUGAUUCAGUCACUUCAGCUACUUGGCCCUAGCUCCACUAUCUUCUUUUUUUAAUUUCAUGAAUAUUCUUAGAAAAUAUAAGAAUGUUGCCAGGCGCAGUGGCUGACGCCUGUAAUCCCAGCACUUUUGGAGGCUGAGGUGGGCAGAUCACGAGGUCAGGAGUUUGAGAUCAGCCUGGCCAAUAUGGUGAAACCUGCCUCUACUAAAAAUACAAAAAUUAGCCGGGCGUGGUGGCACGCACCUAUAGUCCCAGCUACUUAGGAGGCUGAGGAAGAAGAAUCGCUUGGACCGGGGAGGAGGAGGUUGCAGUGAGCCAAGAUCGCGCCACUGUAUUCCAGCCUGGGCGACAGAGCCAAAAAAAAAAAAAUACAUAUAUAUAUAUAUAUAUACGUAUAUAUAUAUAUACAUAUAUAUAUAUACAUAUAUAUAUAUACGUAUAUAUAUAUACAUAUAUAUAUAUACACAUAUAUAUAUACGUAUAUAUAUACGUAUAUAUAUAUACAUAUAUAUAUACAUAUAUAUAUACGUAUAUAUAUAUAUGAAUGUUUUGAGAUGAAAUUGGUUUCUUAAUUACUAAUAAUUUUUUCAUCUUAUCUUGGGCUCAUGAAAAAAUGGUCAGUUUUCAGUUAUUUGGAGAAUAGAAAAUUUGUGUGAUUAAAAAGAAAAGGAGAACAAAAUUAAAAAUGUCCAUUAAUUUAUGCUAAGUCUUUAAAGCAUGAAUUAUUUUUUUACGUAACUACACACAAGCUUAUGAGGCUUUAACAUUGUACCUUUCCGUGCUGUUCUUUUUAAAGCUUAAGAUGUGUAACUAUCAGUCUUCAUGGUUGUCAUUUUUGUGCUUUUUAUUAUUAUUUUGUCUCAGCUUUUCUCUUUCUGCAUUAAAAUACUCUGACACUUUU